ensembl:snRNA U7 U7 small nuclear RNA
UAGUGUUACAGCUCUUUUAACAUUUAUCUAGUAGGCUUUCUGUUUUUUGCUGGAAAAACCCCC